GUUAAAUCUUAAAGUUAGUAAACUAACUUAGUUAGUUGUUCUAUAAAAUUAGCUCCCUCUUUUAAACUAUAUAACUUGGUUAAUUAAAGUUCAGGGGUAAAUUAUGUAAUAAAUGAAAAUAUAAGGGUUUUAAGUCUGAAAAAUAAAUAAAUAAAAAGAAUGCUGACCGCAGGGAUCGAACCCGGGUCAACACAUUCGCAAGCACACGCACAAGCCAGCUGGGCUGGGUCUUGACAUCGAACAUAACUCGGCUCACAAUUCAUUUAAACCCUCGUUCAAGCCAAGCCCAACAUACUAAUUAAACUAUAAAACACUAGCAAAACCCUAAUGCCUUCUUUAUUUAUUUUUUUUUUUUUGAACAGCCGCACAUAACAUAGAUGUUUCUCCUCUUUUCCUUGUUUGCCUGUUAAUACACACCCUCUUACAAAUGGAGACCAGAGACUCCAUCUCUUUCAAGCUUAUAAUCUCACCAUCAACCUCACCCAACUUCCCGCAUCUCUCUCUCUCUCAUUCAGACGUCGGCGACAGGAGCCGCUCCGACCGUCUUCUCCGGCGUCGGUUCCGGCCGACCACACACCUCCCUCGCUCACCCCUCAUCCCUGCUAAUCGAAUGACCAACCACCGCCCUUGGUGGCGGCACUCGUCGGCAACAGAAACGGAACGACGGCAGAACCAUCGAGCGGCGAGAACGGCGGCGGUGCUAGGGGUUUCUUCGCGGCGGCUCGUUUUAGUGUUUGUUUGACUCGUGUCGCGUCGGCUCGGUCCAGAUUCGGUUCAAUUCAGGUAUCGGCCUCAACUUAGUUCUGAUUCAGUUUUGGGCUUGAUGACAACUCCGAUUCGGGUCGGUUCAGGUUACCGGCGCCGGCGACUGUGGUGACCAUCUUUUUGUUGUCUUUUCUGCUCGAUCCAGGCUCAACGGGUUCGGAGCCUGAUCCAGAUUACGUGUCGAACUCAGAUCAGAAUCUGAUUUGGGUUUUGUUAGUUCAAGUUCAAUUCAUGUUCAUUUCAGUUUUUGUUUUGUUGUUUCAGUUCCGUUCGGGUCAGAUUCGAUGUUCAGUUAUUGUCUCGGGUAGUUUCGGCUCGAGUAGCACAAGGGGCUUGGCAUACAUAUGGGUUCGUUGCGGAUUAUGUCUCGGUGCCACUCGGCUCAACCCGGUUCGACUCGGAGUCGCAAUCGUAACCACUCAUAAUCUCGAGACUUCAGUGUUCCAUCCUUUUCAUCUCAUACACUCGUCAACACUUGGAUAAUCGGAAGACUUAGCAAUUUGUUGUUAGACAAGACGAUGAAGAAAUCAAGUUAGGAUGGACUUAGAUACUCACUCAAUAAUAAACAAUGUUGUUGCAAUUUGUCUUAUUUGAAACCAUGUAAUUCAAAUUUUAGUCAUUUAUGAAAUUGGAUUUAAAUUA